rnacentral:rRNA from 1 species
CCCUUAGAUGUCCUGGGCCGCACGCGCGCUACACUGACAUGUUCAACAAGCCUCCUAGUUCGACAGGAUUUGGGAAAUCUUUGAACGCAUGUCGUGAUAGGGAUAGAUCAUUGCAAUUAUUGAUCUUGAACGAGGAAUUCCUAGUAAACGCGAGUCACCAGCUCGCAUUGAUUACGUCCCUGCCCUUUGUACACACCGCCCGUCGCACCUACCGAUUGAAUGUUUCGGUGAAGAUUCCGGAUAGGACUUUUUUGAUUUAUUUCAAUUUUGUCUUAAAAGCUAUCUAAACCUCAACAUUUAGAGGAAGGUGAAGUCGUAACA